rnacentral:rRNA from 1 species
AGUGAACGCUGGCGGUAGGCCUAACACAUGCAAGUCGAACGGCAGCACAGUAAGAGCUUGCUCUUACGGGUGGCGAGUGGCGGACGGGUGAGGAAUACAUCGGAAUCUACUUUUUCGUGGGGGAUAACGUAGGGAAACUUACGCUAAUACCGCAUACGACCUACGGGUGAAAGCAGGGGAUCUUCGGACCUUGCGCGAUUGAAUGAGCCGAUGUCGGAUUAGCUAGUUGGCGGGGUAAAGGCCCACCAAGGCGACGAUCCGUAGCUGGUCUGAGAGGAUGAUCAGCCACACUGGAACUGGGACACGGUCCAGGCUCCUACGGGAGGCAGCAGUGGGGAAUAUUGGACAAUGGGCGCAAGCCUGAUCCAGCCAUACCGCGUGGGUGAAGAAGGCCUUCGGGUUGUAAAGCCCUUUUGUUGGGAAAGAAAAGCAGCAGGUUAAUACCCCGCUGUUCUGACGGUACCCAAAGAAUAAGCACCGGCUAACUUCGUG